CUACGGGUCGCAGCAGUAGGGAAUUUUCGGCAAUGGGGGGAACCCUGACCGAGCAACGCCGCGUGAACGAAGAAGGCCUUUGGGUCGCAGAGUUCUGUUAUCAGGGAAGAAAGGUAAUGAUAGGGAAUGAUCAUUAUUUGACGGUACCUGGUCAGAAAGCCACGGCUAAGUACGGUGCCAGCAGCCGCGGUAAUACGUAGGUGGCGAGCGUUAUCCGGAAUCAUUGGGCGUAAAGGGUGCGUAGGCGGCUGAUUAAGUUUGUGUUUAAAGCGCGAAGCUCAACUUCGUAAAGGCACAAAAACUGGUCGGCUAGAGUGCAGUAGAGGCAGAUGGAACUCCAUGUGUAGCGGUAAAAUGCGUAGAUAUAUGGAAGAACACCAGUGGCGAAGGCGGUCUGCUGGGCUGUAACUGACGCUGAGGCACGAAAGCGUGGGGAGCAAAUAGGAUUAGAUACCCCUGUAGUC
rnacentral:rRNA from 1 species